ensembl:lncRNA
CGGUGGGCUCCGCAACGGGGAGGUGUAGAGGUGCUGGGAGAAGAGUGGAGCGCUGAGGCGUUUCGUUGGGUCAGCUCGGGAGCCGACUGACCUGCAGGAAGGACGCGGCCCUGAUUUGGUGCCCUAGCGCAGCCUGUCAGCCCCUUCUCGCCAUCAGGAGAGCCCCAGCCCGGCUGCUCGGUCAGCUUUCUGUCUCUUUCUGCUGUGACCUUCACCGCUUCUCCUCAGGACUCCCCAUCUCUGCAGGAACGCCGCGGCUGCCUGCCCUCUCUCUGAAUGCUUUAGCUGAGCUCCACUUCUGGGCCAGCCCCAAACUCCCCUCUCUGCCCUCUGCCGCACUGGAGGAGUUACCUGCGUACAUUGCUAAUACAGCGGUCUUAAGCCUUGUGCCUUUUUCCUUCUCUGGUUAAUGAGUCAUACUUUGGAGUGAGUGCGCUGCCCAGAAGCGGGCUUUGCCCCAUGCCCACAGAUGCACAGUGGUGAUCCCAUGAAGUGGAGACAGGUCCCAGUUACUCAGCCGGCAUUUAACAUGCACUUGUUGCAAAAUGAAUGACAUGUACCAUCGUUUUCCCAUGGAGUUGCUGCAUACGGUCUGUUACAGGCUUGCACGUGUACGUAGCCUUACUCCUGUGCAUAGCUCUAAGCCAGCCGGACUGCUCCCAGUGCACAAAACUAAGCAUGGAUACAGGUCUUUCCAUGGUGAGAUGCUUAAUGCAAGGCGAUUGCAGCAAGCGGGGAGGGGAAGUGGAAAACAAGGGUGACAGCAAUAAAAUUACACUGGAAUUUUGAGCAGGAUGACAAAGAGAUACUGAGGAAAAGCAGGGACUGCCCAGACCCUUCUACAAGGAGGAAAUACCUCAUGCACAGUGCAUUUUGUCAAGUAUACAAGGUUUAUGAAAACAAACAAACCAGUCUUUCCAAUUCGCUUUCGGGAGAACAUCUGAGAUUGAAACAUUCCGUCUAGAUAGUGGGGUAUUUAAUUCUGCUGCUGGCAGAAAUGUACAAAGUGCUCUAUCGGAAUACAAAAAUCCAAACAAAGCAUCCGGUGUGUCCUAAAGAGAUGGAAGCGCACACAGCACACUGUCAAAUGUGGAAUGGCAAAAAUCGUAGCAGCGCAAACAGAGGUGAGCAGACAGGGCUGAGAAAGAAAAGUGCUUCUUCCCUUAGUGAUGGGGAAUGGAGAAUGGAGAUGACGUGGAUGACCUUCUUCUAUUUUGGUAUAUUCUUCUCAUUGUCCGUGCUAGCGUGGACCACGGGUCUCAGCAUAGUGUCAGUACUUACAUGUGCAGCAGUGGUAUCUCGUAGGAAAUGAGGAUAUUGCCUCUGGAUGGAACAUCAAAUGUUUAUGUUCAAGUCUUUUAACUCCUUUGGAAGAGCAUCAAAUAUGGUGGAUAAAUGUUUCCGUCUCUCUGAUCCCACACCUAUCUCUCUCUCAGAAAUCUUCCUGUGACUGUUCGGCCUUCUUAAGCAGAAAAUCUCCAAAGCCAAACUCUUUUUCUUCUGUAGAUAAUUUUGUAUUUCCUACAGCCUCUGCCAUCAUCUGGUCUCCAGUCCAUCAUUUCUAGGGAAAAAAAAGAGAUAUCCUCAGCCUUUUCUGCCACACACAUUUGUGUCUCUGAACUUUCUCUCAUCUCGUUCUGAAGAACACUCUUUGUUUGGGAAUUCGCUUCUUUUCUACAUCUACCAGCUCAACUCUCUCACCAAAAAUGUAUUUUUCUGGAGAGUUUAUCUUCAGCAUCCUUCAUCCUACAAAUCCAUCUUGCAGUAUUGCCCCAUAAACCGCCACAUUUGUAUGAAGAGUGGCAGAAAACUGAUGCUGGAGCAGGAGCAAGUGGCAUGGGGCAGGCAGAGAACUGCUUGGGUCAAUUUUGGUAUUGCAGAAAAUCUAGUGUAAAAAUGCACUGUGACUUGCACCUGAAGAGGAAAGGACAAAAUCCCUUGGCCAACUGAAACAUCUGCAUUAUCCAUUGGAAGCAAGAUGUGUCUUUAGACCAGGCAUGAAAAAAUGUGCGACAAUGAAUAUCAACACGUAACUGAUAAAUAUAUCCUUAUAUAUCAUUAUAACCAAGAUACAAAUUGCACAAGGACAGGAAUUGGUGUUGAAUUCUGUCAGGUUUCUGUUUACUCUGUGAGAAAUCAUUUACCACACACUGAUUAUCAUCAAUUGUAUUGAGUGGAGUAGGUUAAAAAAAAAACAUACCGCAGGAGAAAUCCCAGUUAGGAUUUUUGUCAAGAAGUGUAAUUAACCUGAAGGUAGAAUGAAAGGAUAUUUAAACUCAGGAUCUCUAUGAUAAGAAACACGUUAUAAAUGCUUAGGAGAAUGGAUUAGUAUCAAACAGAG